UAAGGAAUAUUGGUCAAUGGGCGGAAGCCUGAACCAGCCAUGCCGCGUGGAGGAUGAAGGUCCUCUGGAUUGUAAACUUCUUUUAUAGGGGGCGAAAAAAGGGAAUUCUUUCUCGUCUGACGGUACCCUAUGAAUAAGCACCGGCUAACUCCGUGCCAGCAGCCGCGGUAAUACGGAGGGUGCAAGCGUUAUCCGGAUUUACUGGGUUUAAAGGGAGCGUAGGCGGUUUUGUAAGUCCGUGGUGAAAGCCCUCAGCUCAACUGAGGAACUGCCAUGGAUACUAUGGAACUUGAAUAUCGUUGAGGUUUGCGGAAUGGGUCAUGUAGCGGUGAAAUGCAUAGAUAUGACCCGGAACACCAAUUGCGAAGGCAGCAGGCUAAACGAUGAUUGACGCUGAGGC
rnacentral:rRNA from 1 species